AUCACUGCAGGCGUUGUUUUUCAAUUUUUUCAGUGAAAUAAAACAGCGCUUAGGUACCUAAGUGAAAACAUUAUAGUAGUAAGAAUCAUACUCAGGUAGAGGGAUCAUUGUAUAGCUGAUCUUUGUCAAACCUGAAAUUGACUUUAUUACACACGUUGAAAAAUGGCAGCGAAAGUUUUUGGCGCAUCUCUGUUGUUUUCGUAUCUUUUUCUAUGCAUAAUGUCUAACAACUGUAGCUACAAGAAUAUAACUGAAGACGAAUAUAAUAACUUCAAAGGGGUAGACGUUACAACGACUUGCGGAUGUGUUAAAUCUAUGCAAGACAUGUGCCUUAAGAUUGACAAAUUUUUAGGAAUCUCACACGAUAAUGAAGCCUUUAAAAGCGGGUAUCCAAAAUGCGAAACCAAAAAGAUUCAGUUACAAAAAAGCAAGACCCCAGGCUCAGAACUAGUUUUUAAGGACGUUCAAAUGCUCCUCUGUUCUUGGCCAAGCAAUUGUGUCGAUGCAUUUUACUACACUAAGGGUCAAGGUCCGAAUCACGUGAUGAAUUACAACUGUGAUCCUAGCAGUUGUCUUCCUUACAAUGAUAUAAAGAUUCAGCAAUAAUUUUAUUUUAUUCUUAGGUACCUACUACCUGCCUAUAGUUUCCGCCUGUAACUAAUUUAGUAAUUUUGGUUCAUUUUCUUAUUGUAUUAGGUUCACUAAUAAUAAAAUUGCAUUUAUUUUACUCACAA